rnacentral:lncRNA from 1 species
GGUGAAUCCACGUCCAUCUUUCCUGCUCCUUUCUUUCUUUCCACGAAUCUUUCUCCCUUCUUUAAAAAUCUCACUUCAUUCAUCUGCCUCAUCCAAUUCAAGAACUUCAGAUUGGUAAAGAUUUCUUCUCUAUAUUCAUUUUCUUCCACGAACUUCAUAUUGGUAAAGAUUUCUUUUCUAAAUUCAUUUUCUUCCACGAACUUCAGAUUGGUAUUCAUUUUCUUCCACGCACUUAUAACAAGUAUUCUCUACAAAUUAUUUCUGCAGAAUCAAUACACCACAGCUCAUCUUCAUCUACAUAUUUCUGCAGAACCACAGCUCAUCUUCAUAUUUCUACAGAACCAACACACCACUGCCUGCUCAUCUUCUUGAAGGUCUUAUCUAAUUCUAAACCAUGGCAAAUAUUAUUUGUACCACACACAUGAUUGAAAGAAACAGAACACACAUACACUCACAUAAUCAUCCUUUACCUGAGACAUAUAU